rnacentral:lncRNA from 1 species
GGGGAAUUCAGGAAUCAGUGAAGAGGUGGACACUUCCCAUCUCAAAAAGCUGACUCGUCUUCUUCCCACCAGGGGACCCCCAGCCCUCAGCUGGUGGGGGCAGGUCACAGAUAAGUCGUACAGACCCCCGACCUUCCUGCCUGCUCAAAGGCUCAGAGAGACAUGAACCCCAGUCAUCAGAACGCCACUCCCAGACCCUGGAUGAGGACUAGCGAGUUUGGGGAGGGUCUUGCCCCUUGGGGAAAUUGAAUCUUGGGGAAGGGGUGGUUAGAAGGGCCUGAGUCAGCAAUCUGAAAACCUCACGUGUGCCCACCCCAGCCUGGGGGCGGGCUGGGGAGAAGGAGGGAGCUGAAACAGAAAGAGAGAUGGAGAGACGGAGAAUGAAAGCAGGAGAGAGAGAAACUGAGACAAUGGACAGUCAGAAAGAGAGCAGCGGGCAGAACCGGGGGCGGGGCAGGGCACGGGAAGCAGGGAGAACCGCGGUAAUGGGGGUGCGGGCAGAAGGGGUCACAGGAAUGGUCAUCUUUUCCCUUUCAUCACUAGCAUCACAGAUGCACAAAGGUCAGCGCUGAAAUAAUCCCACUCUCACAAAGGAGGCUUAGUGACAGUCACCAAAAGGGAAAACCAACCUAGGGUAGGACCCACCCUCCUGUCUCCCAGUCUGGGCUCAUUUCCUAAGCCCCGAGGGAACGGGAGGACCAGGCUGCUGGGAUGUUGAGGCACAGCGGGGCAGUCCCAGCAUUCUCUGCUUAACCACCUGCCAGUCUGGGAGGGAAUAGGAUGCCGAGGCAAGCAAGGGGCUCUCUGAUCCCUCAGGCCUCUCUCUCUCCAGGCACAGGGGAAAGGAGCCAGUCUCCCCUUGACCAUAGCUGUUUCCUCUCCUCUCAUCCCCUCCCUGGUCUGUGAGACCAGAAGAAGAUAAGCAUGAAGAUAGGACGGUGAGGGAGAGGGACCUGACGAGAGACAGGCUUUCUCACCAGGGGUCUUCUAACUCUAAUCCCUGACCCACGGUCUGGCUUGGGGACAUAUGCCUUCUGAUACUGAACCCACCCUCAUCCCUCCUCCCUGGAGACUUCAGGCCCCUGUCACCUGCAGUGGGUCGCAGUGCUCAUCUCUCUACCUCUGGCCUGCACUGCCCCAUGCCAGCCCGAACUCCGCAGCCUUAGAGGGAGGGAUCUACUGUGGAAAACGGAUGCCUCGGUUCAUCUCACAAAUGCGCCCCAGUGUCUUCACUGGAAGUUCUUCCUAAAGUCUAACCUAAUGUUGCUUCUACUGUGGCCCUGCCCAGCACCUCACUGGCUAGAAGCCUGGCCUUCUUUCCAUCUCAGUCAACCUUGCUCCUUCAGGUCCCAGGACACCUCUGGCAGAGAGGAAGCCUCCCUCUCCUCGGCCCAUCACGUUCGCCAUCUCCCACCUCCAAGCUGGGGCUGCCGCAUCAUUCCUUACCUUCUUUGGGACAGAAGUAAAUUCAAUGCACAAAGAUCAAGCACCAAAAGUGUUUGUGGGGGUCUGCGUGGUAGACACUGGGACAGGG